rnacentral:rRNA from 1 species
UACGGAGGGUGCAAGCGUUAUCCGGAAUCACUGGGUUUAAAGGGUGCGUAGGCGGCUUGAUAAGUCAGAGGUGAAAGCUUCCCGCUCAACGGGAGAACUGCCUUUGAUACUGUCAGGCUUGAAUCGGCACGAGGCAGGCGGAAUGUGACAUGUAGCGGUGAAAUGCUUAGAUAUGUCAUAGAACACCGAUUGCGAAGGCAGCCUGCCAGAGCCGCAUUGACGCUGAGGCACGAAAGCGUGGGUAGCGAACAGG